rnacentral:rRNA from 1 species
AUACGUAGGUGGCAAGCGUUGUCCGGAUUUAUUGGGCGUAAAGCGCGCGCAGGCGGCUUUGUAAGUCUGGUGUUAAAGCCCGGGGCUCAACCCCGGUUCGCAUCGGAAACUGCAGAGCUUGAGUGCAGAAGAGGAAAGCGGUAUUCCACGUGUAGCGGUGAAAUGCGUAGAGAUGUGGAGGAACACCAGUGGCGAAGGCGGCUUUCUGGUCUGUAACUGACGCUGAGGCGCGAAAGCGUGGGGAGCAAACAGGAUUAGAUACCCUGGUAGUCCACGCCGUAAACGAUGAGUGCUAGGUGUUGGGGGUUUCAAUACCCUCAGUGCCGCAGCUAACGCAAUAAGCACUCCGCCUGGGGAGUACGCUCGCAAGAGUGAA